UCUGUUGGUUUCUUAAUUCAACAUCGAGGUCGCAAGCUCUCCUUUCAAUAAGAGCUUUUAGGAGAAUUAUGCUGUUACCCCCAAAGUAAUUUAUUCCUGUCCUCCGUUAAAGGGUCGUGUUGUUCGGCCCCACGUUUUUAUUAAUCUAGAUGUUUUUUUUCAUUAAAUCCGCCGUCCCAGCUAAACUCAUUGGGGGUUUGCACGUCUUGUGGUUUUACAUAGUUAAAUUUUAUGGGGUCUUAUCGUCCCUGAGUCCAACCUAAGGGUUUUUACUUAGUGCCUAAUUUCACAUUAUUAUAAGAACAGUUGCCCUCCAUUCAACCUUUUAUACAAGCUCCUAAUUAGAGAGCAAACUACUAUGCUACCUUAGUAUAGUCAGAGUACUAUAGCCCUUUAUUGGUUCAGUGGGCAGGCUAGACCUGAGGUAGUGUUCACCAGGACAUGUUU
rnacentral:rRNA from 1 species